GGGAUCUGAUUGCUUAUUGCACCACAUGUGUUUUUCUUUGAAACAAACUUGCUUUGGCGGUGGGCCCAGCCUGCCGCCAGAGGUCUAAACUUACAACCAAUUUUUUAUUAACUUGUCACACCAGAUUAUUACUUAAUAGUCAAAACUUUCAACAACGGAUCUCUUGGUUCUCGCAUCGAUGAAGAACGCAGCGAAAUGCGAUACGUAAUAUGAAUUGCAGAUAUUCGUGAAUCAUCGAAUCUUUGAACGCACAUUGCGCCCUCUGGUAUUCCGGAGGGCAUGCCUGUUUGAGCGUCGUUUCUCCCUCAAACCGCUGGGUUUGGUGUUGAGCAAUACGACUUGGGUUUGCUUGAAAGACGGUAGUGGUAAGGCGGGAUCGCUUUGACAAUGGCUUAGGUCUAACCAAAAACAUUGCUUGCGGCGGUAACGUCCACCACGUAUAUCUUCAAACUUUGACCUCAAAUCAGGUAGGACUACCCGCUGAACUUAAGCAUAUCAAUAAGCGGAGGAA
rnacentral:rRNA from 1 species